CCUACGGGAGGCAGCAGUGGGGGAUAUUGCACAAUGGGGGGAACCCUGAUGCAGCGACGCCGCGUGGGUGAAGAAGCGCCUCGGCGCGUAAAGCCCUGUCAGCAGGGAAGAAAAUGACGGUACCUGAAGAAGAAGCCCCGACUAACUACAUGCCAGCAGCCGCAGUAAUACGUAGGGGGCAAGCGUUAUCCGGAUUUACUGGGUGUAAAGGGGGCGCAGACGGCGAUGCAAGCCAGGAGUGAAAGCCCGGGGCCCAACCCCGGGACUGCUCUUGGAACUGCGUGGCUAGAGUGCAGGAGGGGCAGGCGGAAUUCCUGGUGUAGCGGUGAAAUGCGUAGAUAUCAGGAGGAACACCGGUGGCGAAGGCGGCCUGCUGGACUGCAACUGACGUUGAGGCCCGAAAGCGUGGGGAGCAAACAGGAUUAGAUACCCGUGUAGUC
rnacentral:rRNA from 1 species